ACAGAAAAGGUUUGUUUAUUUUUAUUUGUUGUUAUUUAUAGAGUUAUUGUAUAAAGUUGUUGUAUGAUGUGAAUUUCAUCUUUACUUGUGUGUCUUAUUGUUCAGAUGCUUCAUCAAGCAACCAUCAAAUUCCCACCAAUCAGACUGCUGCUGAUGAUGAUGUCUUGAACUAUGCAGCUGUGAGUUUUGCUAAAAAACCUUCAUCCUCCAGAACAUCCAGAGCCAAAAAUACCCAUGAAGACGUUUAUGCUCAAGUUAAAAUAAAAUAGAGAAAUCAUA